GACGAACGCUGACGGCGUGCUUAACACAUGCAAGUCGAAGGGAGUGGCGAACGGGUGAGUAACACGUGAGUAACCUGCCCUUUUCUUUGGGAUAAGCCUGGGAAACUGGGUCUAAUACUGGAUGGAUUGGGAUGGGCUCGCGGCUUAUCGGCUGGUUGGUGGGGGGGUGGCUUACCAAGGCUUUGAGGGGUGGCCGGCCUGGGAGGGGGGUGGUUCAACCUGGGCGGGGAAUACGGCCCAGACUCCUACGGGGGGAGGAAGUGGGGAUAUUGCACAAUGGACGAAAGUCUGAUGCAGCGACGUCGUGUGGGGGAUGAAGGCCUUCGGGUUGUAAACUCCUUUCGCCCGCGGAAUGGUAGUGGGUAAAGAAGCGCCGGCUAACUACGUGCCAGCAGCCGCGGUAAUUC
rnacentral:rRNA from 1 species